rnacentral:rRNA from 1 species
ACGAACGCUGGCGGCGUGCUUAACCCAUGCAAGUCGAACGCUGAAGCUCAGCUUGCUGGGUGGAUGAGUGGCGAACGGGUGAGUAACACGUGAGUAACCUGCCCUCUUCUUUGGGAUAACGCCCGGAAACGGGUGCUAAUACUGGAUAUUCACUGAUUCUCGCAUGGGGGUUGGUGGAAAGGUUUUUUCUGGUGGGGGAUGGGCUCGCGGCCUAUCAGCUUGUUGGUGGGGUGAUGGCCUACCAAGGCUUUGACGGGUAGCCGGCCUGAGAGGGUGACCGGUCACAUUGGGACUGAGAUACGGCCCAGACUCCUACGGGAGGCAGCAGUGGGGAAUAUUGCACAAUGGGCGAAAGCCUGAUGCAGCGACGCCGCGUGAGGGAUGGAGGCCUUCGGGUUGUAAACCUCUUUCGCUCAUGGUCAAGCCGCAGCUUUGGGUUGUGGUGAGGGUAGUGGGUAAAGAAGCGCCGGCUAACUACGUG